ACGGCGAGUGAAGCGGGAAGAGCUCAGGAUGUGAAUCUGCGCUAUUAAAGCGCCGAAUUGUGGUCUGAAGACUUUGGUGUUAUCUGCCGGGCCAAGUUCCUUGGAAAAGGACAGCUGAGAGGGUGAGACUCCCGUCCGCCUGGUAGAGUGAGCCAUUUGUCAACGAGUCGAGUUGUUUGGGAUUGCAGCUCUAAUUUGGUGGUAAAUUCCAUCUAAAGCUAAAUAUUGGUGGGAGACCGAUAGCGUACAAGUACCGUGAGGGAAAGAUGCAAAGAACUUUGAAAAGAGAGUUAAAGAGUACCUGAAAUUGCUGAAACGGAAGCGAAGGAAACCAGUGUUUGUUUGUUCAUAUUUCCCUGGCCACUUGUGGUUUGGGCGCUGUGGGCUUGCGUGGGUUUACUUUGGUUGAUCCCUUUGGAAGAGCGCAGUCAGAGUUGAUGUCUGUUGCUAGC
rnacentral:rRNA from 1 species